GCUUAGAGAGGGGUCAAUGUCCUAUCAGCUAGUUGGUAGGGUAAUGGCCUACCAAGGCUAAGACGGGUAGCCGGCCUGAGAGGGUGGUCGGCCACACUGGGACUGAGACACUGCCCAGACUCCUAUGGGAGGCUGCAGUCGAGAAUCUUUCGCAAUGCCCGAAAGGGUGACGAAGCGACGCCGCGUGUGGGAAGAAGGCCUUCGGGUUGUAAACCACUGUCGGGAGUUAAGAAAUGUAAGGGUGUUAAUAGUAUCCUUACUUGACUAAGGCUCCGGAGGAAGCCACGGCUAACUCUGUGCCAGCAGCCGCGGUAAUACAGAGGCGGCAAGCGUUGUUCGGAAUUAUUGGGCGUAAAGAGCACGUAGGCGGCUUUGUAAGUCAGUUGUGAAAGCCUUCUGCUCAACGGAAGAACAGCAUCUGAUACUGCAAGGCUAGAGUGCGGAAGGG
rnacentral:rRNA from 1 species